rnacentral:lncRNA from 1 species
AAAAGAUCUUUACCAAUCCUACAACAGAUAGAGGCCUUAUAUCCAAAAUAUACAAAGAACUCAAGAAGUUAGACCUCAGGGAAACAAAUAACCCUAUUAAAAAAUGGGGUUCAGAGCUAAACAAAGAAUUCACAGCUGAGGAAUGCCGAAUGGCUGAGAAACACCUAAAGAAAUGUUCAACAUCUUUAGUCAUAAGGGAAAUGCAAAUCAAAACAACCCUGAGAUUUCACCUCACACCAGUGAGAAUGGCUAAGAUCAAAAACUCAGGUGACAGCAGAUGCUGGCGAGGAUGUGGAGAAAGAGGAACACUCCUCCAUUGUUGGUGGGAUUGCAGACUGGUAAAACCAUUCUGGAAAUCAGUCUGGAGGUUCCUCAGAAAAUUGGACAUUGAACUGCCUGAGGAUCCAGCUAUACCUCUCUUGGGCAUAUACCCAAAAGAUUCCUCAACAUACAAAAGAGACACGUGCUCCACUAUGCUCAUCGCAGCCUUAUUUAUAAUAGCCAGAAACUGGAAAGAACCCAGAUGCCCUUCAACAGAGGAAUGGAUACAGAAAAUGUGGUACAUCUACACAAUGGAAUAUUACUCAGCUAUCAAAAACAACGAGUUUG